rnacentral:ncRNA from 1 species
GUACCACCACCGGGGAGCCAGCAAGCGGCUGAGAGGUGCGGGUAUGCUCCGCACGACCCGUCGAACCUGAACCCGUUAGCACGGGCGGAGGGAGUUGGCCGGACUUAAGU